rnacentral:tRNA from 1 species
UGAGCAUUAGAAUAAUGGUAGUUCACUAGGCUUUGACCCUAAUGGUGGGGGUUCGAAUCCCUCAUGCUCAG